GGAUAACCUGCCCUUGGGACCGGGAUAACCCCGGGAAACUGGGGAUAAUACCGGAUAACGCAUAUCUGCUGGAAUGCUUUAUGCGUAAAAUGGAUUUGUCUGCCCAAGGAUGGGUCUGCGGCCUAUCAGGUAGUAGUGGGUGUAAUGUACCUACUAGCCUACGACGGGUACGGGUUGUGAGAGCAAGAGCCCGGAGAUGGAUUCUGAGACAUGAAUCCAGGCCCUACGGGGCGCAGCAGGCGCGAAAACUUUACAAUGCGGGAAACCGUGAUAAGGGGACACCGAGUGCCAGCAUCAUAUGUUGGCUGUCCAGAUGUGUAAAAUACAUCUGUUAGCAAGGGCCGGGCAAGACCGGUGCCAGCCGCCGCGGUAACACCGGCGGCCCGAGUGGUGAUCGUGAUUAUUGGGUCUAAAGGGUCCGUAGCCGGUUUGGUCAGUCCUCCGGGAAAUCUGACGGCUCAACCGUUAGGCUUUCGGUGGAUACUGCCAGACUUGGAACCGGGAGAGGUAAGAGGUACUACAGGGGUAGGAGUGAAAUCCUGUAAUCCUGGGAGGACCACCUGUGGCGAAGGCGUCCAGCUGGAACGAACCUGACGGUGAGGGACGAAAGCCAGGGGCGCGAACCGGAUUAGAUACCCGGGUAGUCCUGGCCGUAAACGAUGUGGACUUGGUGUUGGGAUGGCUUCGAGCUGCCCCAGUGCCGAAGGGAAGCUGUUAAGUCCACCGCCUGGGAAGUACGGCCGCAAGGCUGAAACU
rnacentral:rRNA from 1 species